rnacentral:rRNA from 1 species
AUACGGAGGGGGCUAGCGUUGUUCGGAUUUACUGGGCGUAAAGGGCGCGUAGGCGGCCCACAAAGUCAGACGUGAAAGCCCCGGGCUCAACCUGGGAACUGCGCUUGAAACGUGUGGGCUAGAGUCCGGGAGAGGGUGGUGGAAUUCCCAGUGGAGAGGUGAAAUUCGUAGAUAUUGGGAAGAACACCGGUGGCGAAGGCGGCCAUCUGGACCGGUACUGACGCUAAGGCGCGAAAGCGUGGGGAGCAAACAGGAUUAGAAACCCCGGUAGUCC